AAAACGUCAUAGUUUAGUAUGUCGUCCAAAAAUGGACAAAAACGUCAUAGUUUAGUAUGUCGUCCAAAAAUGGACAAAAACGUCAUAGGUCAGUAUGUCGUCCGAAAAUGGACAAAAACGUCAUAGCUGAGUAUGUCAUCCGAAAAUGGACUAAAACGUCAUAGAUUAGUAUGUCGUCCGAAAAUUGACUAAAACGUCAUAGGUUAGUAUGUCGUCCGAAAUAUCACCAAAACAUCAUAGUUUAGUAUGUCGUCCGAAAAUGGACAAAAACAUCAUAGGUUAGUAUGUCGUCCGAAAAUGGACAAAAACGUCAUAGUUUAGUAUGUCGUCCGAAAAUGGACAAAAACGUCAUAGGUUAGUAUGUCGUCCGAAAAUGGACAAAAACGUCAUAGGUUAGUAUGUCGUCCAAAAUAUCACCAAAACGUCAUAGGUUAGUAUGUCGUCCGAAAAUGGACAAAAACGUCAUAGGUUAGUAUGUCGUCCGAAAAUUGACAAAAACGUCAUAGGUUAGUAUGUCGUCCGAAAAUGGACUAAAACGUCAUAGGUUAGUAUGUUGUCCGAAUAUUGACAAAAAUGUCAUAGGUUAGCAU
ensembl:lncRNA